UGCUGGGUUGGGGAGUCCUAAACUGCAGAGAUUAUCUGAGGACCAAAUGCGUCCUCUUCCCCAGGGUCACUGUGUCUACCAGGAGUGUUUUGGCUGUGUUGGGUGGAAGACACAGCUGCAAGCAAAACUGGGGCAGUAUUUCUAGGUGGAACAUAAUGGACACCAUCCUUGUGUCAGUGCAGAGGCCACGAUGACAACCCAGGGCAAGGG